UACGUAGGGGGCAAGCGUUGUCCGGAAUCAUUGGGCGUAAAGCGCGUGUAGGCGGCUCGAUUAGUCCGCUCUGAAAGUCCGGGGCUCAACCCCGGGAGGCGGGUGGAUACUGUCGAUCUUGAAUGCUUGAGAGGGUGGCGGAAUUCCAGGUGUAGAAGUGAAAUUCGUAGAUAUCUGGAGGAACACCGGAGGCGAAGGCGGCUGCCUGGCAAGACAUUGACGCUGAGGUGCGAAAGCGUGGGGAGCAAACAGG
rnacentral:rRNA from 1 species